AUUGAACGCUGGCGGCAGGCCUAACACAUGCAAGUCGAACGGUAACAGGAAGAAGCUUGCUUCUUUGCUGACGAGUGGCGGACGGGUGAGUAAUGUCUGGGAAACUGCCUGAUGGAGGGGGAUAACUACUGGAAACGGUAGCUAAUACCGCAUAACGUCGCAAAACCAAAGAGGGGGACCUUCGGGCCUCUUGCCAUCGGAUGUGCCCAGAUGGGAUUAGCUAGUAGGUGGGGUAACGGCUCACCUAGGCGACGAUCCCUAGCUGGUCUGAGAGGAUGACCCGCCACACUGGAACUGAGACACGGUCCAGACUCCUACGGGAGGCAGCAGUGGGGAAUAUUGCACAAUGGGCGCAAGCCUGAUGCAGCCAUGCCGCGUGUAUGAAGAAGGCCUUCGGGUUGUAAAGUACUUUCAGCGGGGAGGAAGGGAGUAAAGUUAAUACCUUUGCUCAUUGACGUUACCCGCAGAAGAAGCACCGGCUAACUCCGUG
rnacentral:rRNA from 1 species